rnacentral:lncRNA from 10 species
GCAUGGUGGGCUGCAAUAAAAUGCAGCAGAAAGAUCCUAAAGAACAGACUUGAAAUCUUAAUCCAACGACCAAUAGGUGAUGUCCAGGAAGAUCGUAACCCCAUUUACUCAGUCAAUGAGGAACUGGGGGAGGGACCUGCGCACUAGGGGAUAAAUUGCUUGUUGAAACUCUGCUGGGGGUGGCUGCAUGCCAGCCAGACACCCAGUCUUGCAAGACUGUCAUUGAAAAUCUCCGUUUUGCUGUUCUCCGGGUCUCUGCGUCCAGUCUUUGUGUUUGGACGGACCUGCCGGGCCAUCUUUCUGCAAGAAGAUAAAGGAAGACCAGGAGUGCCUGCCGAACUCCUAUGGAGGAAGUCUAGGAGAGGAAGGGGACAGGGAGGAAGAUGGUGUCUGCAAACCAGGAAGCAGCCUUGCCAGACACAGGAUUGGCCACAACCUUGACCCCAGACUUCCAGCCUCCAGAACUGUGAGAAAUAAAUGUCCAUAUUGACUAGGGGCACAGGGCAUGGGGGAACUGGUUCCAGACCUGCCUCCUGGGAAGUUGGGAGGGGGCAUUUCAACCUGUUAAUUUCUCAAAUUAUGUAGUCAUU